rnacentral:rRNA from 1 species
CCUACGGGUGGCAGCAGUGAGGCAUAUUGGUCAAUGGACGAGAGUCUGAACCAGCCAAGUAGCGUGAAGGAUGACUGCCCUAUGUGUUGUAAACUUCUUUUAUAUGGGAAUAAAAUGUUGCACGUGUGGCAUUUUGUAUGUACCAUAUGAAUAAGGAUCGGCUAACUCCGUGCCCGCAGCCGCGGUAAUACGGAGGAUCCGAGCGUUAUCCGGAUUUAUUGGGUUUAAAGGGAGCGCAGGUGGAUUGUUAAGUCAGUUGUGAAAGUUUGCGGCUCAAACGUAAAAUUGCAGUUGAAACUGGCAGUCUCGAGUACAGUAGAGGUGGGCGGAAUGCGUGGUGUAGCGGUGAAAUGCUUAGAUAGCACGAAGAACUCCGAUUGCGAAGGCAGUUCACUGGACUGAAACUGACACUGAGGCUCGAAAGUGUGGGUAUCAAACAGGAUUAGAUACCCUUGUAGUC